rnacentral:lncRNA from 1 species
AAGGGAACAACCAUUUGACUUCAAAGGGGGAUGGGGUGGGAAUGGAAAUAUUCCGAUCCCCAAUUUGAUAAAAAAAAAAAAUGAUCAUACAGAUGAUAAAAAUAUUCUGAAUCAAAGAGUUUCCCCAUACAUUAUAGUGUUAAAUAUUGAAAAAAAAUGUAUUUGAUCACCAGCAUCGAAAAAAAAGGAAUAAAAACGUACGCGCGAAAAAAAA